rnacentral:rRNA from 1 species
AAUCAACGCUGGCGGCGUGCCUAACACAUGCAAGUCGAACGCGAAAGCCCGCAAGGGUAAGUAGAGUGGCGCACGGGUGAGUAACACGUGGACAACCUGCCUUCGAGUGGGGAAUAACCUUCCGAAAGGGGGCGUAUACCGCAUAAAACCGACGGAACACAAGUUCUGGGGUUGGAAAAGAAGCAAUUUGCUCGAAGAGGGGUCCGGCGCCUGAUUAGCUAGUUGGUGAGGUAACGGCUCACCAAGGCUCGAUCAGUAGCCGUCCUGAGAGGGAGCACGGCCACACUGGAACUGAGACACGGUCCAGACUCCUACGGGAGGCAGCAGUGGGGAAUUUUUGGUCAAUGGGCGAAAGCCUGACCAAGCAACGCCGCGUGGGUGAUGAAGUAUCUUGGUACGUAAA